AUGGGAGGAGACGAAGAUUUUUCUCAACCUAUUGGAGCGAAAUUGUUGCCGAAAUCUGGGUCAGCAAUGCUUUCAGCCGUACGAGGCCACCCAACGACAAACGCAUUCUCUCUCGCACACAAAUACGCCUGCAGGGUGGUCAGCGCUGGCUGGCUCAGCGCGCUAACGACGCCACUAAGGAGGCGGGCGGCCCUGGGCGCCCACAGCCUCGUGUGUCCCCGACGCUGGCCGGGCGCGCCCUCCGCGCACAGGGCACGAGCAGGGCCGCGAAACCCCUCCCCGGGCCUCCCGGAACGGCGUCCCACGGGCCCCCUGGCCGCAGGAGCGGCGGGCAAAGAGGGCAUUCGGCGCGUAGAAGGGACGCGACCGAGAGGUCAUGCCCUUCCUCAGCAGGUGGUGGGAGGUCCGACCUUUCUUGACGUGAAAGCAUCUCCAGUCCCAUCGGCGAGAACUGGGCUCUGCGAGCAGGGAAGGAGCGGGAGGAAGCGGCCGUGGGGAGCGAGCACGUGCCGCGGAGGGCGCCCCGGGCCGGGCCGGCGACGGGAGAGCGGGCCGCCCAGCCCUGCCGCCGCGGCCUGUGCGCGCCCCGCCGGCCCCUCGCGGCCCCUCGCUCCUCAGCAGGCGAGGCGGCUGGGCUGGCGCUCGGCCCCGGCGGGCGCGUGGCGACUCCCGGCAGGCGACCUUCGCCGCUCCGCUCGCGCCUUCGAGCCCGGCGGCCUGUGUGCGCAGGCGCCGCGGGGAAGCGGGGCGGGGGGCCCGAGGGGGACUUGGGGGCCGCGGGGGCCCUGGGGCCCCGGUGCUGCGGGCCUCACGCUGAAGCGGCCUCUGCCCCGGGUUGUCGGAGGGCAGGCUGGGCGCUCGGGAGGGCGUGUCGGGUGCCGCCAGGCGGGACGCGCGGGCCUGGAAGGCUGGAGGAGCCGGCGCACAGGAGGCAGCCCUCGGCGCCAGGGCCGAGCGGGACGGGCGAACGGAGCCGCGGGCGAGGAGCCGCGAGGAGGAGGCCGACGGCAGGGACAGGCGGGCGUCAGCCCUUCGUUCCGUCGGGAGCAGGGCCCAGAGCAGCAAGGAGGACGCCGGGCCCUGGACGGGGCCCCUGCCGGCCUCCGCCCGCCGGCUGCACGCAGUGUCACCAGAGGCGAAGGCUGGGCGGCGCGGCCGGGGGAGCCGACCCGGGGACAGCAGGGCUGUGUGCGGGCGUCUGAGGGGCUGCGCGGAAGGGACGGGCCGGGGGAGCCCCGAGGCCCGGGGACGGCGGCCAGGGCGCCCCUGCAGGGCCGCAGUGCGGGGCUGGGGCGAGCGGGGGCGCUGGGAACCCUCCUCAUUCCUUUCGGCCUAAGGCCUCGAGCUUCUAGAAAUCCCAACAGUUGGGGCCUGGUAGAGACUCCAAGUUUAAUCCUCACAAGAGAGACAGAAGGAGGGGAAGGAGGGGGAAAAAAGGACACACACAAUUGUACUUUUUUAUAUAGAAUUUGUACAAUAUAUUUCUCUUCAUUUGCAUAUUUUACCCACAACUUAACAUCCUUUUUACAGGCUGAACUCACUCAGCUAAUAUAA
rnacentral:lncRNA from 1 species